AUUCAGUCAAACUCCGAAUGCCAAAUACUUAUUCUUGGGAGUCAGACUGCGAGUGAUAAGAUCCGUAGUCGAAAGGGAAACAGCCCAGACCACCAGCUAAGGUCCCAAAGUAUACGUUAAGUGGAAAAGGAUGUGGAGUUGCUUAGACAACCAGGAUGUUGGCUUAGAAGCAGCCACCAUUUAAAGAGUGCGUAAUAGCUCACUGGUCGAGUGACUCCGCGCCGAAAAUGUACCGGGGCUAAACGUAUCACCGAAGCUGUGGAUUGACACCGUAUGGUGUCGAUGGUAGGAGAGCGUUCUAAGGGCGUUGAAGUCAGACCGGAAGGACUGGUGGAGCGCUUAGAAGUGAGAAUGCCGGUAUGAGUAGCGAAAGAAGGGUGAGAAUCCCUUCCACCGAAUGCCUAAGGUUUCCUGAGGAAGGCUCGUCCGCUCAGGGUUAGUCGGGACCUAAGCCGAGGCCGAAAGGCGUAGGCGAUGGACAACAGGUUGAUAUUCCUGUACCACCUAUACAUCGUUUGAACGAUGGGGGGACGCAGAAGGAUAGGGUAAGCGCGCUGUUGGAUAUGCGCGUCCAAGCAGUUAGGCCGGAAACGAGGCAAAUCCCGUUUCCAUUAAGGCGGAGCUGUGAUGGCGAGGGAAAUAUAGUACCGAAGUUCCUGAUUCCACGCUGCCAAGAAAAGCCUCUAGUGAGAUGUAAGGUGCCCGUACCGCAAACCGACACAGGUAGGCGAGGAGAGAAUCCUAAGGUGUGCGAGAGAACUCUCGUUAAGGAACUCGGCAAAAUGACCCCGUAACUUCGGGAGAAGGGGUGCUUUUUAGGGUGAAUAGCCCAGAAAAGCCGCAGUGAAUAGGCCCAGGCGACUGUUUAGCAAAAACACAGGUCUCUGCGAAGCCGCAAGGCGAAGUAUAGGGGCUGACACCUGCCCGGUGCUGGAAGGUUAAGGGGAGAGGUUAGCGCAAGCGAAGCUUUGAACCGAAGCCCCAGUAAACGGCGGCCGUAACUAUAACGGUCCUAAGGUAGCGAAAUUCCUUGUCGGGUAAGUUCCGACCCGCACGAAAGGUGUAACGAUCUGGGCACUGUCUCAACGAGAGACUCGGUGAAAUUAUAGUACCUGUGAAGAUGCAGGUUACCCGCGACAGGACGGAAAGACCCCGUGGAGCUUUACUGCAGCCUGAUAUUGAAUUUUGGUACAGCUUGUACAGGAUAGGUAGGAGCCUGAGAAGCCGGAGCGCCAGCUUCGGUGGAGGCGUUGGUGGGAUACUACCCUGGCUGUAUUGAAAUUCUAACCCGCGCCCCUUAUCGGGGUGGGAGACAGUGUCAGGUGGGCAGUUUGACUGGGGCGGUCGCCUCCUAAAGAGUAACGGAGGCGCCCAAAGGUUCCCUCAGAAUGGUUGGAAAUCAUUCGUAGAGUGUAAAGGCACAAGGGAGCUUGACUGCGAGACCUACAAGUCGAGCAGGGACGAAAGUCGGGCUUAGUGAUCCGGUGGUUCCGCAUGGAAGGGCCAUCGCUCAACGGAUAAAAGCUACCCCGGGGAUAACAGGCUUAUCUCCCCCAAGAGUCCACAUCGACGGGGAGGUUUGGCACCUCGAUGUCGGCUCAUCGCAUCCUGGGGCUGUAGUCGGUCCCAAGGGUUGGGCUGUUCGCCCAUUAAAGCGGUACGCGAGCUGGGUUCAGAACGUCGUGAGACAGUUCGGUCCCUAUCCGUCGCGGGCGCAGGAAAUUUGAGAGGAGCUGUCCUUAGUACGAGAGGACCGGGAUGGACGCACCGCUGGUGUACCAGUUGUCUUGCCAAAGGCAUAGCUGGGUAGCUACGUGCGGACGGGAUAAGUGCUGAAAGCAUCUAAGCAUGAAGCCCCCCUCAAGAUGAGAUUUCCCAUGGCGCAAGCUAGUAAGAUCCCUGAAAGAUGAUCAGGUUGAUAGGUCAGAGGUGGAAGCAUGGUGACAUGUGGAGCUGACUGAUACUAAUAGAUCGAGGACUUAACCAA
rnacentral:rRNA from 1 species